rnacentral:rRNA from 1 species
UACGGAGGGUGCGAGCGUUAAUCGGAAUUACUGGGCGUAAAGGGUGCGUAGGUGGUUUGAUAAGUUAUCUGUGAAAUACCUGGGCUUAACCUGGGCCUGUCAGAUAAGACUGUUAGACUUGAGUAUGGGAGAGGGUAGUGGAAUUUCCGGUGUAGCGGUGAAAUGCGUAGAGAUCGGAAGGAACACCAGUGGCGAAGGCGGCUACCUGGCCUAAUACUGACACUGAGGCACGAAAGCGUGGGGAGCGAACAGG